GAUGAACGCUAGCGGCAGGCUUAACACAUGCAAGUCGAGGGGUAUGGUAGCAAUACCAGAGACCGGCGCACGGGUGCGUAACGCGUAUGCAAUCUACCUUUUACAGAGGGAUAGCCCAGAGAAAUUUGGAUUAAUACCUCAUAGUAUUAUGACUCGGCAUCGAGAUAUAAUUAAAGUCACAACGGUAAAAGAUGAGCAUGCGUCCCAUUAGCUAGUUGGUAAGGUAACGGCUUACCAAGGCUACGAUGGGUAGGGGUCCUGAGAGGGAGAUCCCCCACACUGGUACUGAGACACGGACCAGACUCCUACGGGAGGCAGCAGUGAGGAAUAUUGGACAAUGGGCGCAAGCCUGAUCCAGCCAUGCCGCGUGCAGGAUGACGGUCCU
rnacentral:rRNA from 1 species